rnacentral:misc_RNA from 1 species
CCAAACUUGGUCAUUUAGAGGAAGUAAAAGUCGUAACAAGGUUUCCGUAGGUGAACCUGCGGAAGGAUCAUUAAAAGUGGAAGCCGGCCCGCCGGCAACCUUCCAACCCAUUGCGUACGUACCUCGUUGCUUUGGCAGGCCCGCGGGUGGCGGCCGGCCUUUCGGCUGGACAGCGCCUGCCGGAGGACAUAAAAAAAAAAAAAAACCCCCUGGAUUUUUAAACGUCGUGUUGUCAGAGCCUAAGCGCAAAGAAUCAAAACUUUCAACAACGGAUCUCUUGGUUCUGGCAUCGAUGAAGAACGCAGC